AUGAACGCUGGCGGCGUGCCUAAUACAUGCAAGUCGAGCGAACAGACGAGGAGCUUGCUCCUCUGACGUUAGCGGCGGACGGGUGAGUAACACGUGGAUAACCUACCUAUAAGACUGGGAUAACUUCGGGAAACCGGAGCUAAUACCGGAUAAUAUAUUGAACCGCAUGGUUCAAUAGUGAAAGACGGUCUUGCUGUCACUUAUAGAUGGAUCCGCGCCGCAUCAGCUAGUUGGUAAGGUAACGGCUUACCAAGGCAACGAUGCGUAGCCGACCUGAGAGGGUGAUCGGCCACACUGGAACUGAGACACGGUCCAGACUCCUACGGGAGGCAGCAGUAGGGAAUCUUCCGCAAUGGGCGAAAGCCUGACGGAGCAACGCCGCGUGAGUGAUGAAGGUCUUCGGAUCGUAAAACUCUGUUAUUAGGGAAGAACAAAUGUGUAAGUAACUAUGCACGUCUUGACGGUACCUAAUCAGAAAGCCACGGCUAACUACGUG
rnacentral:rRNA from 1 species